GCUGGAUGUGGUGACACACAUCUGUAAUCCCAGCAGCUCAGGAGGCUGAGGCAGGAGGAUCACAAGUUCAAAGUCAGUCUCAGCAAUUUAGCGAGGCCCCAAGCAACUUAGUGAGGCCCUGUCUCAA
rnacentral:sRNA from 1 species